ACUCAGCUGAAGAAUCUCAAAUAGGACGAAACGUGCGUCCUUAAU
rnacentral:hammerhead_ribozyme from 1 species